rnacentral:pre_miRNA from 1 species
GAGCCACCCUUCCCUGCCUCCAGCGCCACGUGUCUGGGCCACGCGAGCAGGGCCUUGUGGGCCUGAUGUGACGCUGGGGCUUCAGGGCUCUGCUGU